UCAAUAAGCGGAGGAAAAGAAACUAACAAGGAUUCCCCUAGUAACGGCGAGUGAACCGGGAAGAGCUCAAAUUUGAAAUCUGGCGUGCUCAGUGCGUCCGAGUUGUAAUCUAUAGAGUCGUUUUCCGUGCCGGACUGUGUCCAAGUCCCUUGGAACAGGGUAUCAAAGAGGGUGAUAAUCCCGUACUUGACACAAUGACCGGUGCUCUGUGAUACGUCUUCUACGAGUCGAGUUGUUUGGGAAUGCAGCUCAAAAUGGGUGGUGAGUUCCAUCUAAAGCUAAAUAUUGGCGAGAGACCGAUAGCGAACAAGUACCGUGAGGGAAAGAUGAAAAGCACUUUGGAAAGAGAGUUAAACAGUACGUGAAAUUGUUAAAAGGGAAACGAUUGAAGUCAGUCGUGACUGAGAGGCUCAGCCGGUUCUGCCGGUGUAUUCCCCUCAGUCGGGUCAACAUCAGUUUUGUUCGGUGGAUAAGGGCAGUUGGAAGGUGGCACCCUCGGGUGUGUUAUAGCCAGCUGUCGCAUACAUCGGAUGAGACUGAGGAAUGCAGCUCGCCUUUAUGGCCGGGGUUCGCCCACGUUCGAGCUUAGGAUGUUGACAUAAUGGCUUUAAACGACCCGUCUUGAAACACGGACC
rnacentral:rRNA from 1 species